rnacentral:lncRNA from 1 species
AGUUGUACUGUAUCAUUUUCUCUUUCUUAGCCCUGUAGAAAAUAUGAGUAUACUUUUCUACAUGUACUUGGACUAUACCUGGUUCCUGUUCAUGUUUUGAUGAAGUUUUAAGUUAAGAGUUUUUAAUUAUACAACUAUAAUUGCACCUCUUCUCUUUUUUUUUGCACCUCUUCUCUUUAAUUUAAUAUAAUGCGACGAAUUGGUUUUAGUAGUUAUGAAAUGUGGAUAUCACAUAGCAGCACAAUUAAUUCCUACA